AACCAAUGGCAUGUCGGAGCAAGAAUCAAGAAUCUAGUGGGCAAUGCACAAAUUGCAGAUGCCAAUAAGACACUGUAAUCUUCGAUGCAGAUGGUGGAUAAUUUUCGAGCUUCACAGUCUGGUUCAUUGUUGAGAGGUAAAAUGGUUGUUGAGUUGGUUGCUCGUGAUAGCUUGAUGAUUCUCUCCAACCAGUUGCUCGCAGAACUAUGGCUAGUUCUCCAUUGCGGUCUUCCACAUUUUCUUUAUCGAGUACCGCCAUUAAUGCCUCUUAUCAUGCGCAUUUUAUGUGCCUAAUGCUAGUGCUCUUUAAUAAGUAAUAAUAUGAUAACAGGAGAACAGGAUACAUGUUGCAUGGUAACAUUUGCUACCCUGGUGAAAUUGCUGCCAACUUGUCGAUCAUCAACACACGCAUGCUGAUGUUUGGUAAAGAAACUAACAAUCAACAGCCUGUAAUUUAGGGGAAACUUGUCAGCGACUGGAGCCAUCUGAUGUCAAUGUAAGUGCAAUUCAUGCAGGUAACACGACAAUAUUGUUACCUAGGUUGCCUAGCAUCAUGAUGCUACCAUCUGUGUUGCAUCUAAGUCUCAUCCUCAUUGAAUGCUACUCAGUGGGAGCUACAACUCAUUGAACUCAUUUUGAAGUUAGAAGGCUCCGACAAUUGAGAUGUGUCUCCUAAUAUAUAAGAUGUCAAUUAUAAAUCCAUUUCUUGGGCAUGAUUUUGGUCUGCUGUGAUAAGGACACUGCAGCCUUUGAGAAUCAUCUUUGACAUCAUGUGUUCAGUGAUGCAUUGAGAAGUUAUUGUGGAGCAAAAUGUGAAUCUCAAAGUCUGCUGUGUUGCAGGUGGGCCCUAGCAGAAAUUUAGUUUCCUGUUCACCGUGCACAUAAACUGCAUGCACCUAAAUGUUGGUGAAAACAUGUUGACAAUCAUAAGAAACACAUGCUAAGCUGGCAGAAUGGCAGUAAUUUCAUGCAAUAGCACUUCAUGAUGUUACCUGCGCAGCAGGAGUCAAAUAUUAAUGUGAAUAAAUGUUUCAACUUGCCAGGGAUUGAGCUUCUUUCUGGAAGAGCAUUAUGAAGAGGAUCCUGCAAAACUUCUUGAAACAUAUCUCUAUGAAGCCAUCUAGAAGAGUGACCCUUCAGGGUCCCAGUGGAAGCAAAGGGUAUGUCCAACUAGGCAAAAUGGUUAAAGGCACAUUCCCGACUGCUGGAUGGCCAGAGUUUGUCAAAGACCACUCAUUAAAGGAGCAUGAAUUCCUGUUUCCAAUCUGAUGGAAUCAUGCACUUCACUAUUUUCAUUUUUGAUACAACUGCAUGUGAGAGAGAAGUUGUGUUCACAGUAAGACCUCAUAGAACUUCCACACCCAGCAAUCGGAGGAAAGAAAGGGGUUACCACCAAGGAUUUCCUUGGAUGCUCGCUACUAUGUUAAGAAUGAAGCAAGUGAAAGAAGAUGCAUGUCACCUCGUAUACCUUGCUGGGAUGUCAAACUUAAAACAGAAGAUAGUGUCCUCCCAAUUUGUAUGAUUGGUCCAUCCACCAGACAAUAUAAAUGCUAUGCCUCGAGAAGACAACAUGUGACAACAGAAGAAGACCAAAAGAAAGGGAAGCUGCCAACUCUUUCACCUCUAUAUUCCCUUAUAUGAUUAUGCGCAUGACAGCAAUGAAUGUUUACAGGCCAUAUAUGCUGGCGAGUCAUAUACAUUUUACUCUACAUAUGUAUUAAAAAUAAAUGAGCACAUAUUUUGCAUGAAUGCAGGCUGUUGCCCUGUACUAAAUCUAUUUUCACUCAAGGGCAGGUGUUGUUUAGGGCUUAACCUUCCAUUAUAGACUUAUAGUACAUAUAUCUUUAUGUUCUUAUUCUGUUCUCAGAAUAUGGGACAUUUACUUUUCAAUAUUUCCAGUUGACGGGUCAGGUGCCUUUAGAUAAAUUUUGUUUGCUUGUCUUCCUUUUAUUUUCCAUGCCGUACUCUCCUCCUUUCAACUAGCAUGGCACAGCGUUCUCUGUUUGUACUUAUUUUUCACUAUGUUUAAUUUUCCUCAACACUAUCGAAGGAAAGCUGUUGGAAGCAUUGCUGUAAUAUCGGAUUCAUGACUUCAUGUCACGUUUAAAAAAAAGAAAUUGGCUUGUCUAAUUGACUGCUUCCCUGUACAAUGUUGUGGCAGUUAAGAAUUCCAAGAACAUUGAUUUUGAUUUGUUAUUAACUAAAUGCAGUGCUUCCCUAUUUGGUUUUCACAUGCAGAUCUUUCUUGUAGAAGAACUGAUGUGGUCCUCCCGAGACCAAACUGGGAAGGCUUGGUUGGUGGUUUGCAUUCCAAGCUCAAGGGACCUUUUAUCUGGAGGUUGGUCUGCGUUCACACGUGUCAACAACCUGGAGGAAGGAGAUUAUUGUGUUUUCGAGCUUGUGGGUCCAGUUGAAAUGCAUGUCCACAUUUUCAGGGUGGCUGUGGAGAUCACUACUUUGAUUAGGAUGCCAGGGAUGCAGAAGAUGUGUUAGCUUCAUGGAGCUUGUCCACUAUGGAUGAAAUAUAACGGAGUCAAUGUAGGAAAGGAUGAAGAAAAUUAUCAUUUGAUAUGUAUUCUCUAGCAUCUUUCCUCACAAGUUGCUUCUUUGGUUGGACAUGCUUGCAUAUAUUACCAACUCAAGCUUAAUGUAACCAGUAUCCUUGCCUUUGAUCCCCAUGUUAAUGUUCAUGCUGAUUUUUUUCCCC